rnacentral:rRNA from 1 species
UACGUAGGGUGCAAGCGUUGUCCGGAAUUAUUGGGCGUAAAGAGCUCGUAGGCGGUUUGUCGCGUCGAAUGUGAAAACCCGGGGCUCAACCCCGGGCCUGCAUUCGAUACGGGCAGACUAGAGUUCGGUAGGGGAGUCUGGAAUUCCUGGUGUAGCGGUGAAAUGCGCAGAUAUCAGAAGGAACACCGGUGGCGAAGGCGGUGGUCUGGGCCGGCACUGACGCUGAGGAGCGAAAGCGUGGGGAGCGAACAGG